rnacentral:rRNA from 1 species
GUGGGGAAUCUUAGACAAUGGGCGCAAGCCUGAUCUAGCCAUGCCGCGUGAUCGAUGAAGGCCUUAGGGUUGUAAAGAUCUUUCGCUGGGGAAGAUAAUGACUGUACCCAGUAAAGAAGCCCCGGCUAACUCCGUGCCAGCAGCCGCGGUAAUACGGAGGGGGCUAGCGUUAUUCGGAAUUACUGGGCGUAAAGCGCACGUAGGCGGACUGGAAAGUUGGGGGUGAAAUCCCGGGGCUCAACCUCGGAACUGCCUUCAAAACUCCCAGUCUUGAGUUCGAGAGAGGUGAGUGGAAAUCCGAGUGUAGAGGUGAAAUUCGUAGAUAUUCGGAGGAACACCAGUGGCGAAGGCGGCUCACUGGCUCGAUACUGACGCUGAGGUGCGAAAGCGUGGGGAGCAAACAGGAUUAGAAACCCCGGUAAUCC